rnacentral:rRNA from 1 species
UACGUAGGGGGCUAGCGUUGUCCGGAAUCAUUGGGCGUAAAGCGCGCGUAGGCGGCCAGAUAAGUCCGGUGUGAAAGUCACAGGCUCAACCUGUGAAUGCCGCUGGAAACUGUCUGGCUAGAGUCCGGAAGGGGCGAGUGGAAUUCCUGGUGUAGCGGUGAAAUGCGCAGAUAUCAGGAGGAACACCAAUGGCGAAGGCAGCUCGCUGGAACGGUACUGACGCUGAGGCGCGAAAGCGCGGGGAGCGAACAGG